UACGAAGGGGGCUAGCGUUGCUCGGAAUUACUGGGCGUAAAGCGCACGUAGGCGGAUUGUUAAGUCGGGGGUGAAAUCCUGGAGCUCAACUCCAGAACUGCCUUCGGUACUGGCGAUCUCGAGUUCGGGAGAGGUGAGUGGAACUGCGAGUGUAGAGGUGAAAUUCGUAGAUAUUCGCAAGAACACCAGUGGCGAAGGCGGCUCACUGGCCCGAUACUGACGCUGAGGUGCGAAAGCGUGGGGAGCAAACAGG
rnacentral:rRNA from 1 species